CAGCCCCACUUCACUCCAUUCACCACUCAGAACUAGCUCCACUGUACUCUAUUCCGUCACUACCAUAACUACCACAUAGCUCAAUCUUGCACUCUUAACCAGCUCCACUCACUCUCAUACAACUUCAUACUGCACUCUUAUCUGGCUGGACUCCACUCCACCCUAUUCUACUCCGCUCCACUGCACUCCAUUUCACCACCACGAUCACCGCCAGACAACUCCAGCCUGCACUCUGAACCAGCUCCACUCCGCUCCCGUCCACCCUACUCCACCAUUACUUUCACUCCCACACAACUCCAGGCUGAAUUCUUCUCCUCACCAGCUCCACUCUACCAAUACUACGACUACCACUGAACUCCAGGCUGCACUCUUAACCAGCCUUCACUCCACUCCACUCCGCUCUACUCCACUCACCCUCGUAAUCUCAUUUCAUACAAACCCUCUGCUACUACAUUAGACAUGUGUUCACAGCAAAAACACUCGUUUCUCUCUCUCUCUCUAAGCUCCACUAACUCCCCCUCAAACUCUUUGCUGAUACUGCAGUGAAAAGAAAAAAAUUAACCAUUUAAUAUAUAUUUUAUAAAAAUAUUAAUUAAUAAUUACAACUAUAAUUAAUUCCUUUUUUUUUUUUUAAGCAUUCGUUCUCCCUCUCUCAUGUUGAGUCAACCAGCCUUAUUUUAAAUACACAUACUAUAUUAUUUAAUUGACAUCAGCAAUAUAUACCCCCACACACAGAGCAUAUAUACACACACACACAUAUAUAUAUAUAUAUAUAUAUACACAUAAAUACUACUACAUUUACUGCUACUAUUACUACUAUAAGUGACACCACGACAACAACCACAGCAACUGUUCUAUAACUGCUUUAAUAUAUCUAUAUAUAAUUAUAUAUACGUGUGUGUGUGGUUCUCUACUAUAUUAUAUUAUAUCACUACAGUGUUAUUAGUAUAUAUUAUUAACUGUACACUUUAAUUGUUCUAAUGUGGAGAUCUCAUGUGAAAGAAGCACCACCACUAAAUGCUUCUGCAAUAACAAGACCACCACCAGCCUUUUUUUUUCAUCUGGAACAGUCUACAUGUCUUCAUAAUCUUGCCGAAAUAAUAAUAAAUGCGACGUCUUGAUACACAAAUGCCCAAAUUCUUUGAGACUGGCAGACGGAUUGGAUUGAGUACCAUUUUAGUCUUGGGAGAAUAAAUCGAACGGAAAUAUAUAUAUAUUUGGGGAAACCAAAAAAAAA